GAAUUCGCCCUUGUUUGAUCCUGGCUCAGGAUGAACGCUAGCGGCAGGCCUAACACAUGCAAGUCGAGGGGUAGAACACUUCGGUGUUUGAGACCGGCGCACGGGUGCGUAACGCGUAUGCAAUCUACCUUAUACAGGGGAAUAGCCCAGAGAAAUUUGGAUUAAUGCCCCAUAGUGUUAUAGAAUCGCAUGGUUUUAUAACUAAAGUUCCAACGGUAUAAGAUGAGCAUGCGUCCCAUUAGUUAGUUGGUAAGGUAACGGCUUACCAAGACAAUGAUGGGUAGGGGUCCUGAGAGGGAGAUCCCCCACACUGGUACUGA
rnacentral:rRNA from 1 species